rnacentral:rRNA from 1 species
UUACCUAGAGUUUGUGGGCUUUGCCCACUGUCUCUUACCCAUGUCUUUUGAGUACUUACGUUUCCUCGGUGGGCUCGCCCGCCGGUUGGACAAUUUAAACCAUUUGCAGUUGCAAUCAGCGUCUGAAAAACAUACUAGUUACAACUUUCAACAACGGAUCUCUUGGUUCUGGCAUCGAUGAAGAACGCAGCGAAAUGCGAUAAGUAGUGUGAAUUGCAGAAUUCAGUGAAUCAUCGAAUCUUUGAACGCACAUUGCGCCCCUUGGUAUUCCAUGGGGCAUGCCUGUUCGAGCGUCAUUUGUACCUUCAAGCUCUGCUUGGUGUUGGGUGUUUGUCUCGCCUUGCGCGUAGACUCGCCUUAAAACAAUUGGCAGCCGGCGUAUUGAUUUCGGAGCGCAGUACAUCUCGCGCUUUGCACUCAUAACGACGACGUCCAAAAGUACUUUUUACACUCUUGACCUCGGAUCAGGUAGGGAUACCCGCUGAACUUAAGCAUAUCAAUAAGCGGAGGAAAAGAAACCAACAGGGAUUGCCCUAGUAACGGCGAGUGAAGCGGCAACAGCUCAAAUUUGAAAUCUGGCGUCUUUGGCGUCCGAGUUGUAAUUUGCAGAGGGCGCUUUGGCAUUGGCAGCGGUCCAAGUUCCUUGGAACAGGACGUCACAGAGGGUGAGAAUCCCGUACGUGGUCGCUAGCCUUUACCGUGUAAAGCCCCUUCGACGAGUCGAGUUGUUUGGGAAUGCAGCUCUAAAUGGGAGGUAAAUUUCUUCUAAAGCUAAAUAC